UCUGGUGGAAGCCCGCAGCGAU
rnacentral:snRNA from 1 species